CUGCCUCUCCACACUGUCACACCUUGAUUGGUUAAAUUAAAAUCACCUGAGAGCACCAACCUAAAAACACAGAAGCUACAAAGGAGAUACUUAAUAUUUUACUGGAUAAUUAUGGCUUCAGUAACGGCCUCUGAAUCAGGUAACGAUGGAUUUUUCUUAUUUUUGUCAGUAAUAUUGUCAGUAUAUCUUAAAGUAUACUUUUAAAACAGUUGCAGAUUCUACAGAGGAGACUUUGACCCUGUCUGCCGCUAACAAGGACUCGUCACAGGUGAGGCACAAUCUAAAACUUGAACAUUUUAAUAUCUUGACUGCUCAAAGUUAAGGAUGGGUGAAAUGUUUUAGUCUUCUCAGGAACUUGAAGUGGUGGAGGACAGACUUGUGACCCUGUCUGACAAGAUAAAACUCUGCAACAUGAUACUGACAGACCUGAAGGAUCUCAGUGGUAUUGUGGCGGUAAGCAUUUUGUUUUGCACAACUUUAUUUUAACCUGUUGCCGAUUUUUUUAAAGCUAAUCUUGAUCUUAUUUCAGAAAAAAUCCCGCCAGGAUGUGCCCGUUCCUCCUCAGAUGUGACCAAAGACAUGAAAGCUUUACUCUUUUAUGUGUCCCCUUUAUAUGUUUGAUAAUAAAAUACUUUCAGUCUUGA